rnacentral:rRNA from 1 species
ACAACGACUCUCGGCAACGGAUAUCUCGGCUCUCGCAUCGAUGAAGAACGUAGCGAAAUGCGAUACUUGGUGUGAAUUGCAGAAUCCCGUGAACCAUCGAGUCUUUGAACGCAAGUUGCGCCCGAGGCCGUCAGGCCAAGGGCACGCCUGCCUGGGCGUCACG